GACGAACGUUGGCGGCGUGCUUAACACAUGCAAGUCGAACGGAAAGGCCCUGCUUUUGUGGGGUGCUCGAGUGGCGAACGGGUGAGUAACACGUGAGUAACCUGCCCUUGACUUUGGGAUAACUUCAGGAAACUGGGGCUAAUACCGGAUAGGAGCUCCUGCUGCAUGGUGGGGGUUGGAAAGUUUCGGCGGUUGGGGAUGGACUCGCGGCUUAUCAGCUUGUUGGUGGGGUAGUGGCUUACCAAGGCUUUGACGGGUAGCCGGCCUGAGAGGGUGACCGGCCACAUUGGGACUGAGAUACGGCCCAGACUCCUACGGGAGGCAGCAGUGGGGAAUAUUGCACAAUGGGCGGAAGCCUGAUGCAGCAACGCCGCGUGCGGGAUGACGGCCUUCGGGUUGUAAACCGCUUUCGCCUGUGACGAAGCGUGAGUGACGGUAAUGGGUAAAGAAGCACCGGCUAACUACGUGCCAGCAGCCGCGGUGAUACGUAGGGUGCGAGCGUUGUCCGGAUUUAUUGGGCGUAAAGGGCUCGUAGGUGGUUGAUCGCGUCGGAAGUGUAAUCUUGGGGCUUAACCCUGAGCGUGCUUUCGAUACGGGUUGACUUGAGGAAGGUAGGGGAGAAUGGAAUUCCUGGUGGAGCGGUGGAAUGCGCAGAUAUCAGGAGGAACACCAGUGGCGAAGGCGGUUCUCUGGGCCUUUCCUGACGCUGAGGAGCGAAAGCGUGGGGAGCGAACAGGCUUAGAUACCCUGGUAGUCCACGCUGUAAACGGUGGGUACUAGGUGUGGGGUCCAUUCCACGGGUUCCGUGCCGUAGCUAACGCUUUAAGUACCCCGCCUGGGGAGUACGGCCGCAAGGCUAAAACUCAAAGGAAUUGACGGGGCCCCGCACAAGCGGCGGAGCAUGCGGAUUAAUUCGAUGCAACGCGUAGAACCUUACCUGGGUUUGACAUGGAUCGGGAGUGCUCAGAGAUGGGUGUGCCUCUUUUGGGGUCGGUUCACAGGUGGUGCAUGCCUGUCGUCAGCUCAUGUCGUGAGAUGUUGGGUUAAGUCCCGCAACGAGCGCAACCCUUGUUCACUGUUGCCAGCACGUUAUGGUGGGGACUCAGUGGAGACCGCCGGGGUCAACUCGGAGGAAGGUGGGGAUGACGUCAAGUCAUCAUGCCCCUUAUGUCCAGGGCUUCACGCAUGCUACAAUGGCUGGUACAGAGAGUGGCGAGCCUGUGAGGGUGAGCGAAUCUCGGAAAGCCGGUCUCAGUUCGGAUUGGGGUCUGCAACUCGACCUCAUGAAGUCGGAGUCGCUAGUAAUCGCAGAUCAGCAACGCUGCGGUGAAUACGUUCCCGGG
rnacentral:rRNA from 1 species